UACGGAGGGUGCGAGCAUUAAUCGGAUUUAUUGGGCGUAAAGGGCGCGUAGGCGGAGAUGUAAGUCAGAUGUGAAAUCCCGGGGCUCAACCCCGGAACAGCAUUUGAUACUGCACCUCUCGAGGGUAGGCGGAGAAAAUGGAAUUCCACAAGUAGCGGUGAAAUGCGUAGAUAUGUGGAAGAACACCGGUGGCGAAGGCGAUUUUCUAGCUUAUACCUGACGCUGAAGCGCGAAAGCAAGGGGAUCAAACAGG
rnacentral:rRNA from 1 species